UCAAGCAACUAAGCGCAUACGGUGGAUGCCUUGGCAGUCAGAGGCGAUGAAAGACGUGGAAGCCUGCGAUAAGGCUCGGGGAGCUGGCAAACAAGCUGUGAUCCGGGCAUCUCUGAAUGGGGAAACCCACCGACUUUCGGGUCGGUAUCUUACACUGAAUCCAUAGGUGUGAGAGGCGAACCGGGGGAACUGAAACAUCUAAGUACCCCGAGGAAAAGAAAUCAACCGAGAUUCCCUAAGUAGCGGCGAGCGAACGGGGACUAGCCCUUAAGCUAGACAACUGGUAGGAGAAGGCUCUGGAAAGUGCCGCCAUAGUGGGUGAUAGCCCCGUAUCCGAAACCUGAGUCUGGUGAAAUCGAGUAGGACGGGACACGUGAUAUCCUGUCUGAACAUGGGGGGACCAUCCUCCAAGGCUAAAUACUCCUGACUGACCGAUAGUGAACCAGUACCGUGAGGGAAAGGCGAAAAGAACCCCUGUGAGGGGAGUGAAAUAGAUCCUGAAACCGCAUGCAUACAAGCAGUGGGAGCCGACUUGUUCGGUGACUGCGUACCUUUUGUAUAAUGGGUCAGCGACUUAUGUUCAGUGGCGAGGUUAACCGUUUAGGGGAGCCGUAGGGAAACCGAGUCUGAAUAGGGCGAUUUAGUCGCUGGGCAUAGACCCGAAACCGGGCGAUCUAUCCAUGAGCAGGUUGAAGGUGCCGUAACAGGCACUGGAGGACCGAACCCACUGUCGUUGAAAAGCCAGGGGAUGACUUGUGGAUCGGAGUGAAAGGCUAAUCAAGCCCGGAGAUAGCUGGUUCUCCCCGAAAGCUAUUUAGGUAGCGCCUCGGACGAAUACCACAGGGGGUAGAGCACUGUUUCGGCUAGGGGGUCAUCCCGACUUACCAACCCGAUGCAAACUCCGAAUACCUGUGAGUACUAUCCGGGAGACACACGGCGGGUGCUAACGUCCGUCGUGAAGAGGGAAACAACCCAGACCGCCAGCUAAGGUCCCCAAGUACCAGUUAAGUGGGAAACGAUGUGGGAAGGCUCAGACAGCUAGGAGGUUGGCUUAGAAGCAGCCAUCCUUUAAAGAAAGCGUAAUAGCUCACUAGUCGAGUCGGCCUGCGCGGAAGAUGUAACGGGGCUCAAACUGGAUACCGAAGCUGCGGCAGUGUGCUUAGGCAUACUGGGUAGGGGAGCGUUGUGUAAGUCUGUGAAGGUGUGUUGAGAAGCAUGCUGGAGAUAUCACAAGUGCGAAUGCUGACGUGAGUAACGAUAAUGCGGGUGAAAAACCCGCACGCCGGAAGACCAAGGGUUCCUGCGCAACGCUAAUCGGCGCAGGGUGAGUCGGCCCCUAAGGCGAGACCGAAAGGUGUAGUCGAUGGGAAACGGGUUAAUAUUCCCGUACCUUGGAUAGCUGCGAUGGAGAGACGGAGAAGGCUAGGCCUACCGGGCGUUGGUUGUCCCGGGGAAAGACCGUAGGCUGGGAUCUUAGGCAAAUCCGGGAUCCUAAGGCUGAGAGUCGAGACCACCGGCCCUUUGCGGCUGGGAAGUGGUUGAUGCCCUGCUUCCAGGAAAAUCUUCUAAGCUUCAGGUUACAAGGAACCGUACCCCAAACCGACACAGGUGGUUGGGAUGAGUAUUCUAAGGCGCUUGAGAGAACUCGGGUGAAGGAACUAGGCAAAGUGGUACCGUAACUUCGGGAGAAGGUACGCCCUUGUUUGUGAUGGAACUUGCUUCCUAAGCAGAUGAGGGCCGCAGUGACCAGG
rnacentral:rRNA from 14 species